UACGUAGAGGGCGAGCGUUGUUCGGAAUCACUGGGCGUAAAGCGUAUGUAGGCGGUGCGACAAGUUGGAUGUGAAAGCCGUGGGCUCAACCCGUGAACAGCAUCCAAAACUGUAGCUCUGGAGUAUGGUAGGGAAGUGUGGAAUUCCUGGUGUAGCAGUAAAAUGCGUAGAUAUCAGGAGGAACACCGGAGGCGAAGGCGGCACUUUGGGCCAAUACUGACGCUGAGAUACGAAAGCGUGGGGAGCAAACAGG
rnacentral:rRNA from 1 species